rnacentral:lncRNA from 1 species
CUCACCAUGACAACACAUGGAACGCUAUAUAUGCUAAUUAAUAUGAAUGUCUAAUUAGUGAUAUGCAAAUUAGAUGUUCCCAUAUCUGUUAUGGGGAUGUGUGUGUGUGUGUGUGUGUGUGUGUGUGUGUGUGUGUGUGUGUGUGUGUGUGUGUGUGUGUGUGUGUGUGUGUGUGUGCAUAUGCUCCCAUAGUGGGAAAUUCACUCAUUCAAAUCCCUGAGGAAAUAAAGAAUCAUCCUCUCUCCAUCACCUCCCAUCACGCACACACGCACACACGCACACAUACACAAAAUACAUCUGGUUAAUUGUCUAAUAUGUAAAUAAAAGACCUGAGCCCCAUUCAUUUUCUCUGUGACACACACACACAGCACACACACACACACACUGCCAUAGUCCCAUAUCCCCUCUCUUCCUUAUUAACUGUGUUGCUAUUCAGUGUUUUGUUCUCACAAUGCUCCCUUUGAUUGGAGUGAUGUCACAGACAGGAAAUGGUGGACAGAACAGAACAGUGGAAGUGACAGUGGCAGCGUCAUACUGUAUCAAUUGAAAGCUGUCCAGUAGGUACCAAAACAUUCAAAGGCCAUUUUCUCAAGAUUGAUGUUGCAAAUGUAUCAACUUUCAAAGCAGAAUUACUUUCCCAUUGUUCCUCAACUGUAGUUGUAUGGUACACCAUUUUCUAGAUCUGGGUCUCUACUUUUAUCCAACGUAAAAAAAAAAACACAAUUUCAAAUAUUGCUACAUAAGGCCGAAUCGAGCUGGUCGGUCACAUUUGGAACGUUUGAUGAAUUUGAUAAACAUGUCCCACUUUAAUGGUAUAUAGGAAGGUGGGUGUUUUAAACUCACAUUCUUCUCUAUUUAACAUAAUGAGAGGAAGAUAACUUGCAGAAACAAAAACAUUCCUUGUUUUGUCAAGCAGGGUAGUUAAUUGAAUUUGAGGAACGUGCACGUUUAACAAAUUGUGUGUGUGUGUGUGUGUGUGUGUGUGUCUCUACUCAUUAGCAUGUUAAGUGAUUGGGGUGCCCUGGGCAAGUCACCUAUAGAAGCACAUAGUAAGAGACAAAGACAGACUGAAUACAUUAGGUGUUCCAAUCUAAUGUAGGUCCCUGGCAGCUCUCUUUCUAUACAAACCAAUCAUUAAUAUUUAGGUGUAUAGAUACUGUAUGUGUUGGAAGGGGAGUGGGGUAGAGGGGAGAGGAGAAGGGGAACAUGGGGAAGGUAAAGAGAAAAGUGUUGAGAACUGGAGAAAGGGGAAGAAAUUAUGGUAAGGAAAAGGAAGAGGAGGGGAGAGGAGAGGAGAGGAGAGGAGAGGAGAGGAGAGGAGA